AAUUCGACUUGGCAAUAAUAGAAACAAACCUCGUCCCCUUUAAGUAAAUGUCAAUUGAGUUAAUCAAAUUUUAAAAGCUAAAUCUAGACUCUGUAAUUCUAACACACUGGAACAUUUAAGCAUUGACACUGAUAAACCGAAGCUUCAACCAGACCAAUAUAAAUUAAUUUUGAUCAAGCUAUCAGAGAAAAAAGGCCUAGAGAAACUAAUUUUCGAAUUGGGUACUCCAGAGGUUAUUCUAAGUUAUUUACAAAAAACUGAACAAUUCACCACAGCCCAAUGUCAAUAAAGAUUCUAGGAAACUUAAAUCAACUUACAAUAAAUAUUGUAAAAAGAAAUGUAUCCUAUU